rfam:Danio rerio chromosome 12, GRCz11 reference primary assembly.
UGUAUUCAUGGGUAUAAGUCACUUUGGAUAAAAGCGUCUGCUAAAUGCUUUAAU